rnacentral:rRNA from 1 species
GACGAACGCUGGCGGCGUGCUUAACACAUGCAAGUCGAACGGUAAGGCCCUUCGGGGUACACGAGUGGCGAACGGGUGAGUAACACGUGGGUGAUCUGCCCUGCACUUCGGGAUAAGCCUGGGAAACUAGGUCUAAUACCGGAUAGGACCACUGCCUGCAUGGGUGGUGGUUGAAAGCUUUUGCGGUGUGGGAUGGGCCCGCGGCCUAUCAGCUUGUUGGUGGGAUGAUGGCCUACCAAGGCGACGACGGGUAGCCGGCCUGAGAGGGUGACCGGCCACACUGGGACUGAGAUACGGCCCAGACUCCUACGGGAGGCAGCAGUGGGGAAUAUUGCACAAUGGGCGCAAGCCUGAUGCAGCGACGCCGCGUGAGGGAUGACGGCCUUCGGGUUGUAAACCUCUUUCAGCACCGGCGAAGCGCAAGUGACGGUAGGUGCAGAAGAAGGACCGGCCAACUACGUGCCAGCAGCCGCGGUAA